rnacentral:tRNA from 1 species
ACCUUAGUGGUGUAGUGGUGACCACACUCGGCUCGUAUUCGAGAGGUCCGUGGUUCGAGUCCCGGCGAGGGCA